rnacentral:lncRNA from 1 species
GGGCUACGGCUACCCGUUCAGAGCAGCUACUACGGCUGCCGCCUGUCACACAACGUGAACUGCAGCAGAAGCCUUGCGCCUACCACCCGGGCGACAAGUACCCGGAGCCGUCGGGCGCCCUGCCGGGUGAUGACCUGUCUUCUCGGGCCAAGGAGUUCGCCUUCUACCCCAGCUUCGCUAGCUCCUACCAGGCGAUGCCCGGCUACCUGGACGUGUCGGUGGUGCCCGGGAUCAGCGGGCACCCGGAGCCGCGUCACGACGCGCUCAUCCCGGUCGAAGGCUACCAGCACUGGGCUCUCUCCAAUGGCUGGGACAGUCAGGUGUACUGCUCCAAAGAGCAGUCGCAGUCCGCCCACCUCUGGAAGUCUCCCUUCCCAGACGUGGUUCCCCUGCAGCCCGAGGUGAGCAGCUACCGGCGUGGGCGCAAGAAGCGCGUGCCCUACACCAAGGUGCAGCUGAAGGAGCUGGAGAAAGAGUACGCAGCCAGCAAGUUCAUCACCAAAGAGAAGCGCCGGCGCAUCUCAGCCACCACGAACCUCUCCGAGCGCCAGGUCACCAUCUGGUUCCAGAACCGCCGAGUCAAAGAGAAGAAGGUGGUCAGCAAAUCGAAAGCGCCGCACCUCCACUCCACCUGACCGCCCCCCGCCCCCCGCCGCCCGCCCCGCCUAUUUAUGUCGCCGCUUUGUACCGUGCCCGAGCCCACCGAAGGACGCUGCGCCGGUGCGGACGAGUAUUGAACGUUGACGAGAAAGAGGAACCGCGCCCACGGAAGGCCGAGAGGCCUCGCCUGCCUGCUCCGUAUCCCACCCCAGCCUCAACCCCAAGCCCGAGGAGCCCGCCAGGCCUCAGCGGCUUUGGACGCGGGUCGAGGUGGCUGUGGGAGGAGGCUUCUACUCGCCCUCGUCCGCCCCUAAGAAGGACGAGGACGGGGCGGCCGAGAGCCCAACCAUCGGAACCCAGGCAGGGCCAGGGCGCCCCAGAAGACCCCAUCGCCGGCCAGGCUGGUGGAUCGCCCUCCUCGGGCGUGCGGAGCCGCAGCACCCGGCGAGCCCCUGCCUUCCCGGCAGUUCCUCUUUCCCCUCUGUCUGUCCCGCACUCCUGA